GACAUAUUUCUAAUUAAAUCAUCAUUCUUGCUGAGAGGUUAAUGAAUAGCGUUUUGAGAAGGAAAUUAUACGUGGUACACAUAAAAACUUCGGAAUUGUACAACUUUCUGGCAUGAGGCUCGUAUUAGAAGCAGGUGCUGCAAUGAAGAUCCGAUUCACGCUCUUUAUUGCCUGCUGUCACAAAGAAACGAAUGGAAAUAGACGGCAAUUUGCAAUUUGUUGUGUAGAAAAUAAAGUGCCAUUCGACGAGUAUUCUUAACGUAG